rnacentral:rRNA from 1 species
GCAUGGUUUCAUUAUUAAAGGAUUCCGGUAAAGGAUGGGGAUGCGUUCCAUUAGGUUGUUGGUGAGGUAACGGCUCACCAAGCCUUCGAUGGAUAGGGGUUCUGAGAGGAAGGUCCCCCACAUUGGAACUGAGACACGGUCCAAACUCCUACGGGAGGCAGCAGUGAGGAAUAUUGGUCAAUGGGCGGUAGCCUGAACCAGCCAAGUAGCGUGAAGGAUGAAGGCUCUAUGGGUCGUAAACUUCUUUUAUAUAAGAAUAAAGUGCAGUAUGUAUACUGUUUUGUAUGUAUUAUAUGAAUAAGGAUCGGCUAACUCCGUGCCAGCAGCCGCGGUAAUACGGAGGAUCCGAGCGUUAUCCGGAUUUAUUGGGUUUAAAGGGAGCGUAGGUGGACUGGUAAGUCAGUUGUGAAAGUUUGCGGCUCAACCGUAAAAUUGCAGUUGAUACUGUCAGUCUUGAGUACAGUAGAGGUGGGCGGAAUUCGUGGUGUAGCGGUGAAAUGCUUAGAUAUCACGAAGAACUCCGAUUGCGAAGGCAGCUCACUGGACUGCAACUGACACUGAUGCUCGAAAGUGUGGGUAUCAAACAGGAUUAGAUACCCUGGUAGUCCACACAGUAAACGAUGAAUACUCGCUGUUUGCGAUAUACAGUAAGCGGCC